rnacentral:sRNA from 1 species
AAACUAGAUUUUAACCGCGGUAUAUCGCGGGACGAUUUAUUUUUUAAAAGUAAUAUAUAUUAAAACUUGCAAAUUUUAUUUUUAU